AUCUUCGGUCACGUAAGCAGACAGUUUGUUGCACACGUCAUUUUGUUUUGGGUCCUCUAGCAGCGUGCUACGGUACUUCGGCGCGAGGAUCCCAAUGAGUACUGACCUUUGGAACACACCAUAUAGCAACCUAUGUGCUAAGGCCAUUGGUCUGCAAGUACCGAGGACAGCGCUGAACUCCGGGACGCCUCCGCGAACAAGGCUUGCCGUGGACGCCGCACGCCGCCAAAUCUGACGCUACAUUCACCAUGCUAAGCAGAGGUUCUGAGGAACGAAACGUGCCGCGGGUGUAGCCUUUAGAGCUCUCAGGGAUCUCGCAUCGAUGGGGCUGGUGA